AUAUAAUUAGAUAAAUCAACUUCUUAGAGUUUUUAUUACAGAUUCAACAUCACACUACCCAGGGUCUGCAGAACAAUAUAGCCAGAUAAAGGAUGCUUCGUUUCGAGACAUUCUUGAUUCUAUUGCUGGGCAAGCUAGUGUGCCAGUAUAAAAUUCAAGAAUAGACUUCACUGUACAGUGAAAUCCAAAGAACACCUGACAUUCGCUAAUUUAACAAACGAUUGUGAAAUCGAUAUUCUUUGCAAAAUUUAUGUCUAGAUUCAAAUAAAACUAUUAUUAAAUUAA